GACGAACGCUGGCGGCGUGCUUAACACAUGCAAGUCGAACGGAAAGGCGCUGCUUUUGUUGGGUGCUCGAGUGGCGAACGGGUGAGUAACACGUGAGUAUCCUGCCCUUGACUGUGGGAUAACUCCAGGAAACUGGGGCUAAUACCGGGGAGGAGCUCCUGCUGCACGGUGGGGGUUGGAGAGUGUCGGCGGUGGGGGAUGGACUAGCGGCUUAUGAGCUUGUUGGGGGGGUAGUGGCUUACCAAGGGUUUGACGGGUAGCCGGCCUGAGAGGGUGAACGGCGACAAUGGGACUGAGAUACGGCCCAGUCGCGUAUGGGAGGCAGCAGUCGGGAAUAUUGCACAAUGGCCGGACGCCUGAUACAGCAACGCUGCGUGCGGGAUGCCGGCCUUCUGGGGGUAAACCGAUUUCGCCUGUGACGAAGCGUGAGUGACGGUAACGGGUAAAGAAGCACCGGCUAACUACGUG
rnacentral:rRNA from 1 species